GGUGUGGCUCAGAUAAUGCUGGAUGACUUGAACCUGAGCAACAUCGUCAUAGGAUGGUAUAAACUAUUCGGGACGACUUCCCUGUGAGAAGAGAGCCCGUAUCCCUGCUUUUUCUAUAAGGGUAAAUUAUCUUAAUCCUUUCUUCGAACAGUGCUAAACUAGGACAAUGGGAAUGCUUUGAAUAAUCCUUUGUACAUUUGAAUUCGAGGGCUAUGAAAAUAUACUUAAGACUAUAUCCCCAAGAAAGUAAUAAUUUCUUAAAGACAGUCUAAAAUUUGAACAAUUUCCGGAAUAUAUUAAAAUUUGUAUUAUAGUGA